rnacentral:lncRNA from 1 species
GGUGGAAUAGGAAGACGAAGGCUGGAGUUGGAUAAUGAUCCUUCUAUUAUGAGCUUUGACAAUUCUGGGACAUGGACUCUCGGUACAGAUUGCCCAAGACAUCUCACAUGACCAAGCAAUGGGACAUGUCUCUUCUUACCUCAUGAAACACCCUGCCGCACCCCGCCCCCUUCUGCCACCACCAAGUGAUCAUCCAGCUGACACUUGAGGAACUUUGAUGAUGAGGAGUUCAUCAGUCAUUGGUCAGACUAUUAAAUCUUUCCACAGCUU